rnacentral:snRNA from 14 species
GGACUUACCAAGCAGGGGAGAUACCAUAAUCAAGAAAGUGGUUUUCCCGUAGUGAGGUCUGUCCCUUUCAUUCCAGGCGUGCUGUGACCACUUCAACUUUCCCAAGGCAGUUCUCUCAGUGCGAGACCUGUUCUUUGCACUCUGGGCAGGCUGACCCCUGCGGGUUUCCUGGGGAACUUGACUGUGCAAUUUUGUGGCAAUUGGGUCUGCUUUCUUGCUUUCCCCCU